CACGGUAGGACUGUUAUUUGG
rnacentral:misc_RNA from 1 species